GUGUGGCUGGUUCGUGGUUG
rnacentral:miRNA from 1 species